rnacentral:misc_RNA from 1 species
AAACACUUAAUCUGGAAUUUGUGCGGCAGGUUAAAUCAUCCGAUGGGUCCUCUGCCGAGCUUCAGAAGAGAUGCCAUGAUUUACAGGCCAACUUGAAUCAAUGCCUUGCAAAUGAGGCUUGUUCAAUUAAAGAAAACAAGGAAUUGCUACAAUCUCUUUCUUCUGUUAGAUCUGACUUAGAAGCUUCUAUUGCUCAAAAUAAUGUUCUUUCAGAUGCCAAGUAUGUUAACACAGUGAAACUUGAGGAAUACAAGAAGGAGAUGACAAUAUUGGAGGAUUCUCUCCUUGAAAAUAAUAAUCACCACGCUCUUGAAGUGGAGAAGUUGAAGAACGAGCUGGCAAAUGCUGAAGAAGAACUUAAUUACUUGUCACUUUCCAAGGAGGAACUGGAGAUCAUGGUGAUUGUGCUCCGAGGCAAAUUAGAUGAACUGCACCCCCACACGAUCUUACAGGAGAACAACAAAGAUGAAAUGGUCACUUUGCAGUCUCAAUGUGAUAAACUCACCCACAA